rnacentral:lncRNA from 1 species
CAUCCAUUUCAUCUUCCCGAGUUCACAGCGAUCCUAUCAACGGCUACCAUCCGCAUGAGAUUCCUUCUUUCGGAACGAUCUCACGUUCGUAAUCAUCCAUGUUUAAAGCUCAUCUUUUCUUCUCCCGGACAUCUCCCAGCUUCUCCCGCGAUGCAUGCCAAGCAAACAAACUUUUAUCUUCAUCCACAUCCUCAACCGAAUCCAGACUUCAUCCGGAUUUGCUCCCAGCUUCAUCUCUUCCGAAUUCCUCUGCAUCCAUCCCAGCUCCCCUGUUCCAACAUCAUCCUUAUCUCGAGUCCCAACUUCCUCCCAACCUCCUACAGAUUCGAUCUAAGCUUCAAGUCCCAGCUGUCAGCCAUCCCAGCUUCAUCUCUUCCCA